rnacentral:rRNA from 1 species
CCUACGGGUGGCAGCAGUGAGGAAUAUUGGUCAAUGGACGAGAGUCUGAACCAGCCAAGUAGCGUGAAGGAUGACUGCCCUAUGGGUUGUAAACUUCUUUUAUAUGGGAAUAAAAUGUUCCACGUGUGGGAUUUUGUAUGUACCAUAUGAAUAAGGAUCGGCUAACUCCGUGCCAGCAGCCGCGGUAAUACGGAGGAUCCGAGCGUUAUCCGGAUUUAUUGGGUUUAAAGGGAGCGUAGGUGGAUUGUUAAGUCAGUUGUGAAAGUUUGCGGCUCAACCGUAAAAUUGCAGUUGAAACUGGCAGUCUUGAGUACAGUAGAGGUGGGCGGAAUUCGUGGUGUAGCGGUGAAAUGCUUAGAUAUCACGAAGAACUCCGAUUGCGAAGGCAGUUCACUGGACUGCAACUGACACUGAGACUCGAAAGUGUGGGUAUCAAACAGGAUUAGAUACCCGUGUAGUC